rnacentral:lncRNA from 1 species
GGGAAAAAAACUACUGUUAGGAGUGUUGCUCCAAGAAAUGGGUCAUGCAACGCACGAAAUUUGAAUUAGUCGAGUUUCAAUAUGAAUACCGAAAACCAAGUUGGAAAACAAAAAACAAACAAAUUAUACUUUCACGUUACACUUUCGGACUUUUUGUCCUCAUGUUUCUACAUAGAACAGCCAUACUAUUUCCUCCUUGGCCACCUUUCACCCAAACUCUAGUUUUCCGGCUGCAUGUUGCACACAAUAUUACAUUAUAAUUAUAUUAAUAAUAAUGUCAAUCAAUUUGCAAUAGCUGUAGAAGGAUUAGAACAAAAAUGAGAAAAAAGAGAUAGUAAUAAGGGUGUGUUUGGUAUGGAGGAGAAAAUGUAUGCGUUUGGUUGGUUAAAACGUUUUGAAAAUAUUUUUUUCUAGGAAAAUUAGCGACUUCAAUAACUUUUACUUAGAUUAUGUACUUGUAUAAGAAAAUCCAUUAACUGUGCAUAAAUAUUUAAUUUUACCCAAUAGUUAAUAGUUAUGACUACUAUAGGUUUAGUGGUAUGUUUGAAUCUAUAAACUCCAAAUUCUAUCUUCGUUUCAGAGGAAAACAAGUUCUUUAAAAAUGAAUUUCCUAAUUAAAGUAGGUAAAAUAAGUUUCAUAAGUGACAUUAAAAAAUUUUCAUCUCCUCUCCACCCGCCAAAUGUUCCAAACGUCCACUUCUAACCAUUCCACUACCCGCUACCCCAAAACUCUCCAUUCUAAUCCUCAUAAUGUUUCGCUGGAUUACAUAUAAAUAUUCUUUCAAGAAUAUUGUUUUGCUUAUUUUAUCAAUUACUAAAAAACAAGUAAGAAAUUCAUUUAUUUUUCAAAAAAAAAUAUUUUCGUGAUCAUACCAAACACACCCCAAGUUUCUUUACCUAACAGUUUCUGCCUUUUGUUUCCUCGUCUAAAGUACGACUAUUAGUAAAUUGAAUGUGACAAUUCUAUUCUAAAUAAAAGCCGUUUCUCCCGCUCUAAGCAAAGGAAGAAAAACAAGAAGGAAAAAACAAGAGAUUAAAGAAAAUUGAGUGCUUAAUGGUCAAUAUAAGUAACUUUAUUUUCAAUUGACCUUAUCAUUAGCCUCAAGAUUUUUUUCACUUUUAGACUUAUCACCCCUAUCAGUAAAAAAGGGAAUGCAAGAAUUUUCUGCUAAUUGAUGUGGAUGUACUAAUACUUGGUAAAACACAUCUCAACACUCCUUUUUCUACAAAAUCCCCUUGAAUUUGACUGCUAUAGUUUCUUUUGAGUUGGUGCAUUUACCAAGAUGUUAAAGCCCCACAUCAAAUAGGGAAUAGGUAAGACAAUUCUGGCUAACUUUUUAAAUUAAGUUAUUCGAUAUUCAUUAACCUGAUUAAUUUGAAUCCAUUUUCCUCAACAUUUGAGGGACACAGCCUCCUUACCAAGGAUUUGUUUGGUCUGCUGGAAAAUGUUUUCUUAAAAAUAAAAAUAAAUUCUUACUUAUUUUUUAAUGUUUAAUAGUAAUAAGCAGAUUAAUAUUAUUCUAAAAGCAAUUAUAUGUAAUCUAGCAAAACAUUAUGGAAUGAAAGUGGACAUUAGGGAGUGACAAGGGGUAGGAUGGUUAAGGGAGUGAGGUUGGAGCGCAGGAUGGAAUAUCACUCAUGGUACUUGUCUUUUUCUAUUAGGGAAGUUCUUUUCUCAUUCCUAAAGAACUUAUUUUCUCAAGGAAAAUGUUCUUGAAACUAUUUCGACCCAUCAAAAUGAAAAAUUAGAAAACAUUUUUUGACAAAAAAAUUUCUCCAUACCAAACGAGCACCAAGGAUUUCUCCAUUCUCAAUAUAUGAAUCACGACCUGAUUAAGGUUGAAAUAAUCCUCUAAAACUAACUAUCUAAUAUUCCGACUUAUAAAAACAUUUUAAUAGACGGUGAAUAAAAUUUAAACUCAAAGCACAGUUUACCGACCAACUCAAAAUGUUGAACUCAAAUUCACCUAAUUAAAAAUUGGUAUUAUCAUUAUUAUGCUAAUCCUGGUUUACAUCCACGUCAUUAGGAUCUACCAAUUGACACAUUUUAACUUUUCGAAUGGGGGAUUUACCGUCCACAACUUGACAUAUUAUGGAGGAAGAAAAUUGUGGGCAACUGGAUAGACAGUUUUUCAAGGCGACAACUGUUGAUAUACAGUUUUUUUGAAACUCUAGGUAUUCGAUCUUCUCAUUAAAUAUUCAAAUUACUUUCACAACUGUUGAUAGACAAUUUUUUCGAAACACUAGAUUAUCUUCUCAUCGGAUAUUCAAAUCUCCCUGUUGAUAGACAGUUUUUUAUGUGUCCUAACCAUAAUAGCUAUGUGAUUGAUGAUUCUCAAAUUCGUUGCCCUAAGACCGAUGAAAAUAGUGGAUAUGAACACGAAAUUCAAAUAUUAUUUUUUGUAUUUGAAGUUUUUGAAACAUGGCAUGCUCUUAAUUUAGUUUACAGAAAUAUUUGUAUUUGUAUUAGAUUAUAGGUCAUGUAUAAUAUAUGCAUUUUUUAUGCACAUGAUUAUGUUGACAUAUUUUUUAGAGGAUAAUAUAUAUAUAUAUAUAUAUAUAUAUAUAUAUAUAUAUUUAUUGUUGUUAUAGUUUAAGAUAUGCAUUUGUAUUUAUUGUUUUAUAAGAGUUACAUUUGUAUUUCACAAAUACAUAUGAAGAUAUAUAUUAUAGUUAUGUUCGUUAAUGUUUAAUAUCAAUCCAAUAUGUAUUCCGUAAAUAUAUUUGUAGAGCUAUAUUUUUUGUAAUGUAAUAUGUAUUAUGUAAAAGAAAACAUAUGCAUAUUAUGUAUUUUGUGUUAUAUUUUUUUUGUGAAAAAUACAUAUAAUAUAAAUUUAUGUCAUUAUUUUAUGAGAAAAUGGUCAAAAGCCCCCCAAUCUUUACCCAAAUCUCAACUACACACUUAUACUUUGUGGGGGUCCUAUGACCCCCCUGAACUAUUUUAAAGUGGAAUUAUUACCCCCUGAAUGCUGACAUGACAAAAGAGUGUGUUUCACUCUCUUUAAAGAGAGUGAGAACGAAUUUUUUUUAUUAAAAAAUUAUUUUUAAUAUUUUUUAUACAAAUAAUUUAAUUAUUACUUUUCUUAUUCAUUUUCUCAUGUCUUUUUCUUCUUCUUCUUUUUAGAACAAAAAUUCAAGAACUCGUUAAUGGAGUUUCUCAUCUUCCUCAUCUCCAAUUUUAAUCUUUCUUGAAUUCAUUAAUGGCGAGGACUCAUUAAUGGUGUUUUUUGAUAAUUUGAAAAAUGUUAUUACUGAAAACAAGAAACACUUGAACUAAGAAAACAAGAAUUCUCCGAUUAAUGAAUUCUUGAAUGAGGAAGAUGAGGAACUCUGAUUCAAAAAACUUGAAAAAAAUUCAAGAACUUCGAUUUUUUCUCUUUUUGCUCAAGAUCAGCCAUUAAUGACGAGCUCAAAGCUUUGAAUUUUCACAAUGCCAUAUAUAAUUUCCAACAUAGCCCAUAAUGACAUGUAUAAUUUUCAACCCAUUUCUCUAAUUUUCUCUAUUUUUGCUCAAGAUCCACCAUUAAUGACGAGUUCAAAACUUUGAAUUUCCAUAAUAGCAUAUAUAAUUCCAACAUAACCCACAAUGUCAUAUAAUUUCCAACCCAUUUCUCCGAUUUUCUCUUUUUUUACUUGAGAUCCGUUAUUAAAGAAUUCAUUAAUCGGAGAAUUAAGCAACGUUCGAUAGAGGGACUUUCGAACGAAUGACCUGCUUGUCAUUAAUCCGAUUUUCCUGAUCUUGGGACUUUCUUAAGAAUUCAUUAAUCCACCAUUUUUUUUCAAAGAAUUCUAUCUUUGACCCAAGAAGAUGAAAUUGGUUGAAGAAGAAAAUGGAGCAAAAUGAAAAAUGGGGAAGAAGAAAGGAAAUAAUAAAGUUAAAUAAUUAAUUUUUUUAGAGUAAAAAAAGAAAAAAAUGAUGUGGCAAUGACGUGGCAGCGCGUGCAUCACACCACAUUCAAAAUGAUUGGUGUUUUCUCUUAUUUUAUUCUAUAGGUGUUGCGUGAUCAUAUAUUCAUGGCAAGAGUACUUUCAAGAUUUGCACCACAUAUAGGAUGUCACACAAUCAAUGAUAUUAAAGAACGUAUUAAGGCGAUGUUAUCAAAAUAAAACUACAAGAUUUUUUAUCAUAAGAAUAUUUGUGGUGUCUACAUGAAGAAGAAUAAAUGUAUAGUUCAAGUGUAAUUAGACAGAUACAUUAUAUCACAAAUGUAUUAUAAUUUUUUUGGAGGUAUGUGCAUGUAUUUGAAUUUUAUAUAUACAAAUGCGUAUUCUUGCGUACUUUUGUAUGGUGUUGGAUUUAUCUUUAAUUAUUUAGAGGGUAUAUGUACUAUUUUUAUUUUUUACUGUUUAAGAUAUGUAUCAUGUAUUUUUUGAUUACGCAUAUGUAUAUAGUUUUCCUUUUUAUUAUAGAGCUUUUGUGUCAUAUAUGUUUAUAUAUACAUAUGAGUCAAAUAUGUAUUUCUGUAAAUAUAUACACAGAUAUAUAUGUAUGUUUGUACUAUAAAUAUAUAUGCAGAUUUGUAUGUCUAUUUAUUUGGUAUAUUUUUAAAAUAUGUAUGUGAUAUAGAUAUUUGUCUUUUAAAAAUAAAAGAUGAAGAUUGAAGAGUAAAAAAAAUAAAAUAAAAAAAAUAGAAAAAGAUAAACAAAAAAGAAAAAUCCAAAAAAGAAGAAGUGAAAACAGGGGAAAAAAAGAAGAAAGAGGAAUAAAAGCUAGAAAUAAAAGUGUAAAAAUAAAAAUAAAAAAAAAUUAAAAUAGAAAAAUAAGAAAAAGAAAACAAAAAUAGGAAUAGAAAAAAAAUAUAAGAAAGGAAAAAGAAGAAAACGAAAAAGAAAAAACUGAAAAAGGAAAAAAAGAAGAAAAGUAAAAGAGAGAAAAUAAAGUGGAAAGAAAAAAAUGAAAAAGAAAAAAAUCGAAAUAAAAAAACUAAACACUAAAAAAAGAAAAUGGAAAAAAACUAACAAGAAAUUUUUUUUGGAGAUAUAAGAGGAAUCUACUAAUUUAAAUAGGAGUAAUUUAUGAAAAAGAAAUUUACUGAUUUAAAUAAGUAAUUUGUGAAUUUUUUUUUACCACUUUAAAUACAUGUGAUAAUUAUUUUGUUAUUUAACUCAACUGCCUUAAGUAAAAGAAGGUUAGUAAGUUUCAUUAUAUAUUUAUUUUAAUAGCAAUACUUUUACAAAAUACAAAAGAUAAAUUGCUAUUUCAAGUAAUUAUGAAACAAUUGAUAUGAAUAUCUUAAUUAUAAGCUUAAAUUUUUUACUUAUGAAAUUUUCUAUAUUUGAAAAGGCCUUUUCAUACACUGGGUUUGUUGUUGUUGUGUUGAAAAGGCCUUUUCAGACCAACCCCCUGGGCCACAUAAAAUGAGCCCACAAUCAAAGUAGGCCAAUUCUGGCCUUAUCCAAAUUGUUGCAAUUAAAACGUGGAACUCCAUUAUCAAUAGGUUUAGGAUUAGCUAUUUUGACUAAAUCUAUAAAAUAUUUUUCACUUUUCAUCAUUCGGAUCAACUUUCGUAUAUCUUGACUAAAUUCACGAGAUACCUAACACAUCCACCCACCAACAACAAAUAUUAGAUAAUUUUGUCCACCAAAACUAAAAUUAAAAUAAAUGAGAAAAACAUCUAGUGUUUUUUGUUUCUUCUGAAAUAUAAACCUUAGAUAUUAGGUUCUCAACCGAUUAUAUUUAACUACUAUGUCAUACCCGUGGGUACUACCAACAGGUUUAUCAACGAAACUAAAUUCGUGAGGGACACUUCAUACCACAAAAAAAAAAAAAAAAAAAACACUUUGGCAUUUAUGAAUUAGACCUAAUCAUAUUCCUAAUCUUUCUUCUAGAAAAACUAAUUAACGAAGACAAAGAAAGAUAGUACGUCAUUUGCCCAAUAUGAUUUCCGUGACUCAACAGCGUGGACCAAUGUACAUAAAAACAGGGCCCAGCCCCAGACAAAGUUCAGGAAAUUGCAUCCCAUAGAUCGGGUGAAUCUCAAAAAUAGAUCUAAAUUGGAGCGAUUUUUAAAUUUUAGCCUCAAAUAAUUUUUUUUCUUAAAAUAGUCUUAUCUAUUAAUUAAUAUUCUUUUGGACAAAAUUAUCCCGGAUCAAUGGAGUAAAUUACAUAAAUGAUCCUCGUAAUAGAUAACAACUCCAUAUUUAUAUCUUUCAACUUUUAUUUUUUCUCUUUUUAAUUUUACUUUGAUUUUUAUUUUUUCUUUUAUCUUUUUAUUUUUAAUUUUCUCAACUUCUUUUUUUUUUUUUAUAUUUUUUUAUUUUAUAUUUUUCUUUACUCCUUUUUUUUUUUUAUUCUUUUUAGUUUUUCUCAACCCUUACUUUUUUUCUUUACACCUUUCAACACCUGUUUUUAUUAAAUUUUUUUUUUAUUUUUCUUUAAUUUUUUUUUUUAAAAUUUUUCUCUACCUUUAUUUUUAUCUAAUCUUUUUUUUUUUUUUUUAAUUUUUAUCAACUUUUAUUUUUUUUUCUAUUCUCUCUUAACUUCUACAUUUCCUUUAAUUUUUAUUUUUUUUUAUAUUUUUCUUCAUUUACUUCUUUUUCCGUAAUUUUUAUUAUUUUUGUUCUUUUCUUCGAUUUCUUUCAUUCUAGUUACAUCUCAUGAGCAAGAGUUGACAUUAUCACAUUAUAAAGGUAAGACUUACGACUUUCGAACAAUAAGCUACGUUUCAUGGGUAAGAGUUGACACUACUACAUAGUAGAUGCAAGACUUAUGACUUUCAAACAACAAGUUAUGUUUCAUGGACAAGAGUCAACACUGCCGCAUUGUAUUUUGAUUUAUAAGAUGUUUUAUAACUCUUACCUUAGAGGAAAGACUUAGCUCAGGGACUUUCAAACAACAAAUUAUAUCCCACGAGCAAGAAUUGACUCUACCACGUUAUGUUUUCAUUUAUAAGAUGUUCUACAACUAUUGCCUUAGAGGCAAGACGUAACUUAAGGACUUUCGAACAACAAGUUAUGUUUCAUGGGCAAGAGUCGACACUACCAUAUUAUAUUUUGAUUUAUGAGAUGUUCUACAAUUAUUGUCUUAGAGGCAAGACUUAGCUCAGAGACUUUCAAACAACAAAUAAUGUCCCACGGGCAAGAGUUGACUCUACCACGUUAUAUUUUCAUUUAUGAGAUAUUCUAAAACUAUUGCCUUAGAGGCAAAACUUAACUCAAGAAUUUUCAAACAACAAAUUAUGUCCCACGGGCAAGAGUUGACUCUACCACGUUAUAUUUUCAUUUAUGAGAUAUUCUAAAACUAUUGCCUUAGAGGCAAAACUUACCUCAAGGACUUUCGAACAACAAAUUAUGCCCCACGGGCAAGAGUUGUCUCUACCACAUAAUAUUUUCAUUUAUGAGAUGUUCUACAACUAUUGCCUUAGAGGCAAGAUUUGACUCAAGGACUUUCAAACUAUAAAUUAUGUCUCAUGGACAAGAGUUAACUCUACCAUGUUAUAUUUCAUUUAUGAGAUAUACUACAACUAUUGCCUUAGAGACAAGACUUGACUCAAGGACUUUCAAACUACAAAUUAUGUCCCACGGGCAAGAGUUAACUUUACCACGUUAUGUUUUCAUUUAUAAGAUGUUCUAUAACUAUUGCCUUAGAGGCAAGACGUAACUUAAGGACUUUCGAACAACAAGUUAUGUUUCAUGGGCAAGAGUCGACACUACCAUAUUAUAUUUUGAUUUAUGAGAUGUUCUACAAUUAUUGUCUUAGAGGCAAGACUUAGCUCAGAGACUUUCAAACAACAAAUAAUGUCCCACGGGCAAGAGUUGACUCUACCACGUUAUAUUUUCAUUAAUGAGAUGUUCUACAACUAUUGCCUUAGAGGCAAGACUUAGCUCAAGGACUUUCAAACUACAACUUAUGCCCCAUGGGCAAGAGCUGACACUAUCACAUUAUGUCUUCAUUUAUGAGAUGUUCUACAACUCUUGCCUUAGAGGCAAACCUUAGCUCAAAGACUUUCAAACUAUAAAUUAUGCCCCACGGGCAAGAGUUGACACUAUCACGUUAUGUCUUCAUUUAUGGAAUGUUCUACAACUCUUGUGUUAGAGGCAAGACUUAGCUCAAAGACUUUCAAAUUACAAAUUAUGCCCUACGGGCAAGAGUUAACACUAUCACGUUAUGUCUUCAUUUAUGGAAUGUUCUACAACUCUUGGCUUAGAGGCAAGACUUAGCUCAAAAACUUUCAAACUACAAAUUAUGCCCCACAAGCAAGAGUUGACACUAUCACGUUAUGUCUUCAUUUAUGGAAUGUUCUACAACUCUUGGCUUAGAGGCAAGACUUAGCUCAAAAACUUUCAAACUACAAAUUAUGCCCCACAAGCAAGAGUUGACACUACCACAUUAUGCCUUUAUUUAUGAGAUAUUCUACAACUUUCGCCUUAGAUACAGGACUUAUUUCAAGAAUUUUCAAAGAACUUCAUAACAACAAUUCAUGCCCUAAAAUUUGCUUUGAUGUAAAAAAAAGAAGAUACCUUUGCGGAUUGUCUAAAUUUUUUAUUUAUUAGCAAAAUAUAAUAGAAGUUGAAAAAAAAGAAAAAAACGAUCAAACAAAAUAGAGAAAUAAAAAAAAGAUUGAGAAAAAAAAGGAAAGAAUAAAAACAAAGAUCAAGAAAAAAGCGAAGAAUUAAAAAAUUGAGAAAAAUAAAAAUGAGAGGGAAAAAAGAGAACUGAAAAAAGAAAAAAACGAUCAAACAAAAUAGAGAAAUAAAAAAAAGAUUGAGAAAAAAAAGGAAAGAAUAAAAACAAAGAUCAAGAAAAAAGCGAAGAAUUAAAAAAUUGAGAAAAAUAAAAAUGAGAGGGAAAAAAGAGAACUGAAAAAAGAAAAAAACGAUCAAACAAAAUAGAAAAAAAAAAGGCAAAAAAAAUAAAGAUUAAGAAAAAAACGAAGAAUUAAAAAAUUGAGAAAAUAAACAAUGAGAGAAAAAAUAAAAAUAAAGUUUGAGAAAAAUGAGGAGAAAAAAAAAGAACUGAUAAAAACAAAAAAUAAAGAUUAAAGACAAAUGAAUUAAAAAAAGGAAAAAAAAAAGAAAUAGAUAAUGUUUGAGAAAAAAAAAAAGGUUGGGACAAAUGAAUUAAAACAUGAAAAUAAAAUUAAAGAAAAAAAUAAAAAGUGAAAAUAAUAAAAAAUAGAAUAAUAAAAUUAAAGGAAAAAAAAAGUGAAAAUAAUAAAAAAUAGAACAAUAAAAUUAAAGGAAAAAAUAAAAAGUGAAAAUAAUAAAAAAUAAAAUUUGAGAAAUAAAUAAGUAUAAAAAGUUUAAAAAAUAUAUUUGAGGGGUGGAGGGACAUUUCUUUAUCAAUAUAUUUGUAUGUCUUUACAUACAAAGAAUUCACAGAAAUACCCAAAAUAUACCAAAUUUGAAGAGAUGAUGACGAUAGAAUAUACAUGCGGCAUAUUAAAAUGCAGGAAAAUGGGUUAGGUAACUAGUGUGCAAAGAGGAUUACAUACCAUUCAGCAUCAGUAAAGGAAGCAAGAAACAGAUAUGUUCAACUGUUCAUAACAAUUUUCGAACAGAAAGAAGUGUGUAAAUCUUUCUUUUUCCCAACCAUACCCACUGAAAAGAAUAAAGAAUAGCUGCCCAGUCAUCUUAGCAUUUAUUUGCAGCAGAACAUUCAAGAAACAGCCCAAGACUGUCAGGACAAUAUCAAGUAUAUCUUGUAUCUUGAUAAACAAAGAGCAGACUACUUAACCGCCAAAUGCAGUUGCCCUAGUUUAAUUUAGUAAAGCAGCAUCAUAUUACAGAGUUAUGCUGCAACCUUCAUGGAGUCUCCACAACAGAGGUCAAUCCAGCAAUUAAGAUAAUCAGGUAUUGCAGGUUCUGCUAAAAAUUACGUAAACAGUAGAAAUACAUUACAUACAAAUUCCUGGAAAUAUUUUCUAAAGACAAUCUAUAACCAUCAGGAGGGAGACCAGCACCCCCCACCAAAAAAAAAGAGAUAAACAAAAGGAAUGCGUAUUAGAGGAGAAGAUUAUGAGAUAUGACUUUCACUGAACCUGAAGAAUAUAACGUGAAUCGAAAACCUUAAGGUUUGUUGCGUGAAAAAACCUUAAAGAACCUCUAAGUUCUUCUCCAGCCCCUCUCUAAGGAAUUAAACCCUGUGUCUAGUGCUCUUCAUAAUUGCUCCAAUAGGAUUAAAAGUUCCAAGUUAAUAAUCAGUAAGCAACAAAAACAUACCCAGUGGAAUCCCACAAGUGGGGUGUACACAGACCUUACCUCUACCUCAUAGAGCUAGAGAGGCUGUUUCUAGAGGACACUCGGCUUGAGUACAGCAAACCUUAACAACCAGUAAGCAUGCUCAUGCUCAGGAACAGAAUCUACCUUCUUGUGUACAGAAAAUGGCAAGCCAAAAACCAGGUACAUUUUCCCAUUAGUCUGCAUGGAAGAAAGUCUCUAUCAGAUUAACAAGACGGGCAAUGUAAAUACUUUCCUUCACACAAUCCAAGAAGCAUCAUGAAAGUAACAUAAACUCCCUGAAAUGGAAAAAAGAGAAAAAGAUGAGAACGAAAAGCUCUUGUUAAUUAAACAACAAUACUAAUCAAACAACCAUAGAAAUUAUUUGAUCACAAAGCACCUGGCUUUCAGGAUGGAAACAGGAAAGUCCUCCAAUAGAUGCAGUAUUAUAAAGAUACACUUCAACUUUGUUUUAACUCACAACAUCAAUGCAGAGGCUAAUAAAAAUGGACAAACCUGAGCCAGAGAAAAUUC